rnacentral:rRNA from 1 species
AUUGAACGCUGGCGGCAUGCUUUACACAUGCAAGUCGAACGGCAGCGCGGGCUUCGGCCUGGCGGCGAGUGGCGAACGGGUGAGUAAUACAUCGGAACGUGCCCAGUAGUGGGGGAUAGCUCGGCGAAAGCCGGAUUAAUACCGCAUACGACCUGAGGGUGAAAGCGGGGGAUCUUCGGACCUCGCGCUAUUGGAGCGGCCGAUGGCAGAUUAGCUAGUUGGUGGGGUAAAGGCCUACCAAGGCGACGAUCUGUAGCUGGUCUGAGAGGACGACCAGCCACACUGGAACUGAGACACGGCCAAGACUCCUACGGGAGGCAGCAGUGGGGAAUUUUGGACAAUGGGCGAAAGCCUGAUCCAGCAAUGCCGCGUGUGUGAUGAAGGCCUUCGGGUUGUAAAGCACUUUUGGCGGGAACGAAAAGGACUGUGCCAAUACCACGGUUCGAUGACGGUACCCGCAGAAUAAGCACCGGCUAACUACGUG